AUGCACAAAGGUUAUCUGAAUGGAUUUGAAUCAAGCGUCACUUCACAGCCCACCUUGACUCAGCCCGUCUCCCAGUCUGGGUCUCCAGGAAGAACAGUUCAACUCUCCUGUGGCAUCAGCAGCAAUCCAAACACCAUUGCUUGGAUUCAACAAAGAUCUGGAGAAGGUCCUCGCUUUGUGCACUGUGAUGGCUGCAGCAGCAGGGGACCAGGGAUCCCAGACCGAUUCACGGGAACCCGAUCAGGCAACAACGGCUACUUAACCAUCACCAACCUUCAGCCUGAAGACGAGGCCGAUUAUUACUGUUGCAUGUGGUAUAGCAGUGGUAGCGUGUUCCACAGUGAGACAAUCUAA